rnacentral:rRNA from 1 species
GACGAACGCUGGCGGCGUGCUUAACACAUGCAAGUCGAACGGAAAGGCCCUGCUUUUGUGGGGUGCUCGAGUGGCGAACGGGUGAGUAACACGUGAGUAACCUGCCCUUGACUUUGGGAUAACUUCAGGAAACUGGGGCUAAUACCGGAUAGGAGCUCCUGCUGCAUGGUGGGGGUUGGAAAGUUUCGGCGGUUGGGGAUGGACUCGCGGCUUAUCAGCUUGUUGGUGGGGUAGUGGCUUACCAAGGCUUUGACGGGUAGCCGGCCUGAGAGGGUGACCGGCCACAUUGGGACUGAGAUACGGCCCAGACUCCUACGGGAGGCAGCAGUUGGAAAUAGUGCACAAUGGGCGGAAGCCUGAUGCAGCAACGCCGCGUGCGGGAUGACGGCCUUCGGGUUGUAAACCGCUUUCGCCUGUGAGGAAGCGUGAGUGACGGUAAUGGGUAAAGAAGCACCUGCUAACUACGUG